GCCGGAAUAGCUCAGUUGGUAGAGCAGGGGACUGAAAAUCCUCGUGUCACCAGUUCAA
rnacentral:tRNA from 1 species